AAUGAAGAAAUACUAUUGGAAUUGAAAAAAUAAAGAUGGAUGACUUUCCUAAGCAAAAAAACCUAUUUAUAGCAAAUGAAGCUCAAGACGGCAUACAAUAUCAGUUUCAUUUUUUUUUUUUUUGGGUAAAAUUUAGAAAAUGGCUUCUUUCUUCAAAACCUUCAUCCUACUUUUAUUGGUUUUCCUCAGCUUAUUAACCUCACAGACAGUUCACGUUGAUGCAGCAGAUAUGAUGAAGUUGCGGAAACUGUUGAAUACAGCCAGACUAAACUCAUCACCCCCUUCUCCCAUCCGUAAUCCCACGAGAAGUCCUAGCCCCAACACCCCCUUCCCCCAUCGGUAAUCCCACGAGAAGUCCUAGACUCAUCACUCCACCGCCUUCCUCACCAAAUUCACUUGUUUAGGAUCGUUUGUUCUUCAAUUAUUCAUUUAUUAUUUUUUGAUGGAAUUAUUUGUCCUUUAAUUGGAUUGUAAUAAUCUUAUGUUAUCUAAUAUUCUCUCUUUAUAUCUUUUAAUAAUUUUUUCAUUAACUCGUACAAAUUAUUUAAAAUAUAUAAACAUUAAUUUUAUGUAGUUAUAUAAAAAAUACUAUGAAGCCAUGUGCUAACUCUGAUGGUAAAAA